rnacentral:lncRNA from 1 species
CCUGGAUCCCACGGGGCAUUGCGGGGGCUGCAGGAAGCCUUUGGGGCCCUCAGAACCCAGAGAGGCGAGGGGCGGAAUCGGGAAGGCAGAGAACACUCGAGGAUCCGUGAAGUUGGCAAACCUCCGUGUGCAGGAAGGGAGAGCUGAAAGGCCCUCACCUUCUCACAGCAGAGCCCCACUGUCCUCGGAGGGCCGCAGGAGCCCGGCUCUGCACUGGAUAUGGAGGACUGAGAC